GCCUGAGUGGCUCAGUUGGUUAAGUGUCUGACUUCAGCUCAGGUCAUGAUCUCAAGGUUUGUGGGUUUGAGCCCCAUGUCAGGCU
rnacentral:tRNA from 1 species